UGGGGAAUAUUGCACAAUGGGGGAAACCCUGAUGCAGCGACGCCGCGUGAACGAAGAAGGUAAUCGUAUCGUAAAGUUCUGUCCUAUGGGAAGAUAAUGACAGUACCAUAGAAGAAAGCUCCGGCUAAAUACGUGCCAGCAGCCGCGGUAAUACGUAUGGAGCGAGCGUUGUCCGGAAUUAUUGGGCGUAAAGGGUACGCAGGCGGUUUAAUAAGUCGAAUGUUAAAGAUCGGGGCUCAACCCCGUAAAGCAUUGGAAACUGAUAAACUUGAGUAGUGGAGAGGAAAGUGGAAUUCCUAGUGUAGUGGUGAAAUACGUAGAUAUUAGGAGGAAUACCAGUAGCGAAGGCGACUUUCUGGACACAAACUGACGCUGAGGUACGAAAGCGUGGGGAGCAAACAGG
rnacentral:rRNA from 1 species